GAUGAACGCUGGCGGCGUGCCUAAUACAUGCAAGUCGAGCGAAGCGGGGACGGGUGAGUAACACGUGGAUAACCUCCUAUAAGACUGGGAUAACUUCGGGAAACCGGACCUAUCCCGGAUACUUCUAAAUUGAUCCUCGCUGCAUUAGCUAGUGGGUAGGGUAACGGUUUACCAAGGCAACGUUGCAUAGCAGACCUGAGAGGUUGACCGGCCACACUGGAACUGAGACACGGUCCAGACUCCUACGGGAGGCAGCAGUAGGGAAUCUUCCGCAAUGGGCGAAAGCCUGACGGAGCAACGCCGCGUGAGUGAUGAAGGUCUUCGGAUUGUAAAACUCUGUUAUUAGGGAAGCGGUACCUAAUCAGAAAGCCACGGCUAACUACGUGCCAGCAGCCGCGGUAAUAC
rnacentral:rRNA from 1 species